rnacentral:rRNA from 1 species
GACGAACGCUGGCGGUAUGCUUAACACAUGCAAGUCGAACGAGACGAGAUGGAAGUGCUUGCACGGAAAUCUUAGAAAGUGGCGAACGGGUGAGUAACGCGUGGGUAACCUGCCCUAUGGAAAGGAAUAGCCUCGGGAAACUGGGAGUAAUGCCUUAUACUAUAGUGAAGUCGCAUGGCUUUGCUAUUAAACGCUCCGGUGCCAUAGGAUGGACCCGCGUCCCAUUAGCUAGUUGGUGAGAUAACAGCCCACCAAGGCGACGAUGGGUAACCGGUCUGAGAGGGCGAACGGUCACACUGGUACUGAGACACGGUCCAGACCCCUACGGGAGGCAGCAGUGGGGAAUAUUGCGCAAUGGGGGCAACCCUGACGCAGCAAUACCGCGUGAGUGAAGAAGGUUUUCGGAUCGUAAAGCUCUGUUAUUGGGGAAGAAAAAAAGACGGUACCCAAGAAGAAAGUCCCGGCUAACUGCGUGCCAGCAGCCGCCGUAA